rnacentral:rRNA from 1 species
CGGCAGGCUUAACACAUGCAAGUCGAGGGGCAGCACGGGUAGCAAUACCUGGUGGCGACCGGCGCAAGGGUGCGUAACGCGUGAGCAACAUGCCCUAUACAGGGGGAUAAUCCAGGGAAAACUUGGUCUAAUAUCCCAUAGUAUUUAGAGGAGGCAUCUUCUAUAAAUUAAAGCUUCGGUGGUAUAGGAUUGGCUCGCGUGACAUUAGCUAGAUGGUGAGGUAACGGCUCACCAUGGCAAUGAUGUCUAGGGGUUCUGAGAGGAAGGCCCCCCCACACUGGGACUGAGACACGGCCCAGACUCCUACGGGAGGCAGCAGUGAGGAAUAUUGGACAAUGGAUGGAAAUCUGAUCCAGCCAUGCCGCGUGCAGGAAGACAGCCCUAUGGGUUGUAAACUGCUUUUAUAUGGGAGCAAUAAGGUCUACGUGUAGACUGAUGAGAGUACCAUAUGAAUAAGCAUCGGCUAACUCCGUG